GACGGAAGGUGCAAGCGUUGCUCGGAAUCACUGGGCGUAAAGGGUGCGUAGGCGGCUUGGUAAGUUGGGUGUGAAAGCCCCGGGCUCAGCCCGGGAAGGGCACUCGAAACUGCCGAGCUGGAGUGCCGGAGGGGAGAGUGGAAUUCCUGGUGUAGCGGUGAAAUGCGUAGAUAUCAGGAGGAAUACCGGUGGCGAAAGCGACUCUCUGGACGGCAACUGACGCUGAGGCACGAAAGCGUGGGGAGCAAGCAGG
rnacentral:rRNA from 1 species